rnacentral:rRNA from 1 species
GAUGUUGGGUUAAGUCCCGCAACGAGCGCAACCCUUGUCUUUAGUUGCCAUCAUUAAGUUGGGCACUCUAGAGAGACUGCCAGGGAUAACCUGGAGGAAGGUGGGGAUGACGUCAAAUCAUCAUGCCCCUUAUGCUUAGGGCUACACACGUGCUACAAUGGGUAGUACAGAGGGUUGCCAAGCCGUAAGGUGGAGCUAAUCCCUUAAAGCUACUCUCAGUUCGGAUUGUAGGCUGAAACUCGCCUACAUGAAGCUGGAGUUACUAGUAAUCGCAGAUCAGAAUGCUGCGGUGAAUGCGUUCCCGGGUCUUGUACACACCGCCCGUCACACCACGGGAGUUGGAGACGCCCGAAGCCGACUAUCUAACCUUUUGGAAGAAGUCGUCGAAGGUGGAAUCAAUAACUGGGGUGAAGUCGUAACAAGGUAGCCGUAUCGGAAGGUGCGGCUGGAUCACCUCCUUUCUAAGGA